CUUAUUAUUGGUUUUUAUUAUUUUAUACUGUAUUUACUUUCAGUUCCUGGUUAUUUAUCCUGUUCUGCAUUUGGAUCCAAGGACUGGAACCUACCACCUUCUCGAGAGCUUGUGAUAUGCCUGUAUACUACUUUUAUCCUGUAAGUGUAUCUUGUAUUAAAGAAGUGUCUUUUACUGAGAAACUCUGCACUAUUAUUAUUUCCUUGCCUUACGUGAAUUG